GGAGAGAUGGCUGAGUGGUUGAUAGCUCCGGUCUUAAAAACCGAUAUAGUUCGAAACAAAGAACUAUCAAGGGUUCGAAUCCCUCUAUCUU
rnacentral:tRNA from 1 species